rnacentral:sRNA from 1 species
UACACUUGAAUUAUUGAUUGAUAUUAUC